AGUCCCCAUCAGUUCUCAAUAGAACUUUCGUGGCCCCAUCUGUACAAUUACUUGUGUUGAAGGGAGGACUCACCAAAUGGAUCUUCCACAUUUUCAGAGCAGUGCUAAAAAUUUAAAUUCACCAGACAUCAUCAGACUCCAUCUCUUCAGUUUCUGAUGAAGAUGUGUGACAAUUAACUUCAGCAGUGCUGGAAACAACUGGCAGAGUAAUGGAAGCCAUCAAGGCUUCCUUUCCUCUAGGCUGAAGUUCUCUACCGUUUUUCUUAGCUGCACUGAAUAAGCAGAGACCACACUAUACUUGUGGGACUGAGCUGGAAACAAGUUCAUUAAACUAACAAAAUGAGACAGGUAUGUAGCAGAACUGUCAGGAGGAGCCAGCAUUGAUCCAACUCAGUGUCUUACUAAUGAAGCACUGUAUUUAUGGGUGUAGUACUAAAGGUUUGUAAGGUGAUGAACCAUUUAUGUAAUUUUCUGUGAUUUUGCAAGUUUUAACGACUUGUGUCAAUUUGGAUAUAAUGAAUCAGAUGUGUAUGUGAGGCAGGUUAAACAGUCGCAUCUUCAAAAAUAAGGAUUUUUUUUCUGACUUGGUUUUGAAAGCUAACACAGAAACUGGCCAGUGAAUUGAUAGAAAUGCUUUCAUGAGUGUUGAUUUGUUUCGAGCAGUAUC